GAAUUUGGGGUCGAUUCUGCAGAAUUUGGGGUCACAGCUGCAGAAUUUGGGGUCACAGCCGUUGAAUUUGGGGUCACAGCCUCUGAUUUUGGGGCUGAUUCUGCAGAAAUUGGGGUCAGAGCUGCAGAAUUUGGGGUCAGAGCCGCAGAAUUUGGGGUCGAUUCUGCAGAAUUUGGGUCACAGCCGUUGAGUUUGGGGCCAAUUCUGCAGAAAUUGGGGUCAGAGCUGCCGAAUUUGGGGUCGAUUCUGCAGAAUUUGGGGUCACAGCUGCAGAAUUUGGGGUCACAGCUGUUGAGUUCGGGGCUGAUUCUGCAGAAUU
ensembl:lncRNA